GAUGAACGCUGGCGGCGUGCCUAAUACAUGCGAGUCGAGCGAACAGACGAGGAGCUUGCUCCUCUGACGUUAGCGGCGGACGGGUGAGUAACACGUGGAUAACCUACCUAUAAGACUGGGAUAACUUCGGGAUACCGGAGCUAAUACCGGAUAAUAUAUUGAACCGCAUGGUUCAAUAGUGAAAGACGGUUUUGCUGUCACUUAUAGAUGGAUCCGCGCCGCAUUAGCUAGUUGGUAAGGUAACGGCUUACCAAGGCAACGAUGCGUAGCCGACCUGAGAGGGGGAUACGGCACAAUGGAACCGAGAAACGGUCCCGAACUCCAAGGGAGGGAGGAGUUGGGAAUUCUCCGGAAAGGGGGGAAGGCUGAACGAGGCAACGCGGGUGGGGGAAGAAGGGCUUCCGAUUGGAAAAACUCUUUAUUUGGGAAAAAAAAAAUGUGUAGUAACUAUGCACGUCUUGACGGUACCUAAUCAGAAAGCCACGGCUAACUACGUG
rnacentral:rRNA from 1 species